rnacentral:rRNA from 1 species
UACGUAGGGUGCAAGCGUUGUCCGGAAUUAUUGGGCGUAAAGAGCUCGUAGGCGGUCUGUUGCGUCCGCUGUGAAAACUCGGGGCUUAACCCCGAGCCUGCAGUGGAUACGGGCAGACUAGAGGUAGGUAGGGGAGAAUGGAAUUCCCGGUGUAGCGGUGAAAUGCGCAGAUAUCAGGAGGAACACCGAUGGCGAAGGCAGGUCUCUGGGCCGAUACUGACGCUGAGGAGCGAAAGCGUGGGGGAGCGAACAGG